rnacentral:lncRNA from 1 species
UAGACAAGAAAAAAAUGCUGAAUUUCUCUCAUUUUUGGAAAAAUUAGAAAAAGGUUUGUGGUUUUUUUUUGUUGUUGUUGUUUUUUUUUUCUUUCAGUUUAGGUAUUACGGGAAAUCUGUUUAAUUGAGCCAUAUUUAUAUUUCAGCUGUUUGUAAUACAAUUGGAGAGAACAGGAGAGGGGGAGCAGCAUCUGAGAGGAAAAUAGUGCGCCCUAUGGUAAGGAUCAAGUGGAUAUGUGGUCUCUUGGUCUCUCUGGUGGUUGUAGAGGAACACUUAUCUGUCUUUCAGAAAGAGAAAGUGAAUUAAGCCAAACCCCUUUCCUUCUGGUCCCCACAGAACCUCUAAGUACGGGAUGACUGUGGGUAGCAGGUUUUUGGCAUUACUGAAGAGAAAAAUCUACAAAUUUGGGAAUUUAAUAGAACUUGUUUUAAUUUCAUUGCUGAUGCUGGACCAAAACAAACAAACAAACAAACAAACAAAAAACCCCAAAAAACAAAAAAACCUCACAUACGUUCAUCUUCUAUUGCACAAGGGAAGUAGGAAUAUUUCUGCAGCAGAGUCAUCAUUUGGCUCCAAACAACAGAAGAAUAUUUAUUUAGCCUUGGGGCAUAAUAUAAUCUAAAGAGGGACAAGUGAUAUUUCAGAAGGUAAGACUACUCUGUCUCCCAAAUUUCUGCUUCUAAUUAACUGAAACUUAAUGUGGAAGUUCUUUUCAUUUCCUUUCCUCUCUUUUUCCUGUCAGUCUGGGAGCACUACAUACUGCAGCAAAGCUGAGGAAGAAGCUGUUUGUCAUCAGCCUCUGCAGAAUGUUGCCAUUAGGUCUGGUAACACUGGCACGUUUAUCACACUUGGCAAAUUCCUCCUGUCAACACUGGAUACCAUUCACCUUCAUUUUAAUGUGUUCUUUUCACUCUACUCUAAGCAAACAUAACAUCAGAUUUGAGGUGCUGCUUUUCUUGUUAUGAAUAAUAUGACCAAGUUACAUCUCAGUAGAAACACGUGGAAUACCUUUGACAAAUGCACCUCUCUUUAUUGGAGGGAUUGCCAUCUUCCAAUAAAAGUUAUUUCAGAGCUAUAGCA